UACGAAGGGGGCUAGCGUUGUCCGGAUUUACUGGGCGUAAAGAGCGCGCAGGCGGUCGUUCAAGUCGAGUGUGAAAGCCCCCGGCUCAACUGGGGAGGGUCACUCGAUACUGAUCGACUUGAAGGCAGGAGAGGGAAGCGGAAUUCCCGGUGUAGUGGUGAAAUGCGUAGAUAUCGGGAGGAACACCAGUGGCGAAGGCGGCUUCCUGGCCUGUUCUUGACGCUGAGGCGCGAAAGCUAGGGGAGCAAACGGG
rnacentral:rRNA from 1 species